rnacentral:rRNA from 1 species
AGUGAACGCUGGCGGUAGGCCUAACACAUGCAAGUCGAACGGCAGCACAGUAAGAGCUUGCUCUUACGGGUGGCGAGUGGCGGACGGGUGAGGAAUACAUCGGAAUCUACUUUUUCGUGGGGGAUAACGUAGGGAAACUUACGCUAAUACCGCAUACGACCUACGGGUGAAAGCAGGGGAUCUUCGGACCUUGCGCGAUUGAAUGAGCCGAUGUCGGAUUAGCUAGUUGGCGGGGUAAAGGCCCACCAAGGCGACGAUCCGUAGCUGGUCUGAGAGGAUGAUCCGCCACACUGGAACUGAGACCCGGUCCAGACCCCUACGGGAGGCAGCAGUGGGGAAUAUUGGACAAUGGGCGCAAGCCUGGUCCAGCCAUACCGCGUGGGUGAAGAAGGCCUUCGGGUUGUAAAGCCCUUUUGUUGGGAAAGAAAAGCAGCAGGUUAAUACCCCGCUGUUCUGACGGGACCCAAAGAAUAAGCACCGGCUAACUUCG